AUCUUUGUUCUUUUCCAAAGACUUGCCUUUAAGGAUGGCACCUACUGGAAAGAAAAAUUAAUCCUAUCUGUGUAAUUACAGGCAUUAUCAGUAGUGUGAGGAAAUGGGUUGUUUGGAUCUGAAUGCUCUGAUUUGAGCCAAUCUGUAAUUCAGGACGAAGCCAACUGUAACUCCUGAGAAGUGUUUGCUUUGCAAUUUUAUAAUGCUUUGUAUUGAGGUCUUCCCUAACUGCAGCCCUUCAGAAAGAAUGAGGUAAUGGGCCUCCUUGAAAGCUGAAAAGGGCCAUGCUGAGAAUGCAGGGAAAGCGAUACUGAAGACAAGGAUGUUUGUGGGGCAAGAAGCAAGGCAUACCAUAAUAUUACUCCCAUUCUCCUUGGACCACCGAUUUCAAGGAUGUUCGAAGCAAGAUACAGCUGCCUCUCCGCAGUCUGUUCUACAGGCAUUUAGAAGAAAUGGAAAGAAGGAAUACCCCUGAGGUGGAGGUCAUCCCUGCUAGAUCACAUUUGCCUGCUCUGAUUCACUCUCAGGAGGAGCACUGCAAAGAGAAGGUACCUCUUCAUACAGAUCUUGCUGGAUACAACUGGAUCAAUUGAACUUAUGUGAGAGAGAGGUACAAAGGAAGUAAAUGCAGGUACGUAGAUAAUUUACAGGAAAGUUUAGCCAAAGUAGCUAAGUUUUUACUAACAUACAAUUAGCUGAAAGUGAUGGAUUUUCUUCAAGUGUUGGGUAACUUACUAGUUAAUACGCUGGACCAUUUUUCCUGAAUAUGUUCAGAACUGUGUAGGUUUUUGAGUCUUCUAUUUCUAAUAACAGACAGAGCAAAUUUUAAAGGAGAAGGAAAAAAGCAAAACAAAACACACACACAUGCAUACAAAAAAUGCAAAAACAAAAACAGCAACAAAAACCUCCAUUGGUGGGUUUUGGAAUCUCUUAAUCCUAUUUUUGCUUGUCUCAAUACCAUGUGCAUUUCCUGAAGGGGCUUGUGUGCUGAUCUGCACUAUUACCAUAUGUUCUACAUAUGAAAAUAAUUCAGUGAGAGUAGUUGUCUAUGUUUGUAUGCGGUGCAUAUACACAACAUACAAACACACACACACACACAUUCUUAUUUAUACUCAUAAAUCAUUGCUUUCAAGAACAGAUGCCCUUCUACUGCUCUGUACCUCAGUGUUUCUACACUCGAGAGUGCCUUAAUUUGGAAAAAAUUGCAACUGUCACAGCUCUGCUGCAGUAAUGGUUUUGUAAGAACCAACUUAAUAAAAACAUCAAGCCUCUCUGUUCCAAACAAUUUUAUUAUAGUUAACAACUCAGCCAGUUAUCAAAUAUGUUGUCACCAAUGCACUCUGUCUUCGUGAAUGAUGACAUGGACGAGCCCUGGAUUUCUGUAGUGCUUUACACAUAUACACAGUGCCUUACAGCUGUGUAGCAGCGUUUCCUUAAGGAAUAAAACUGCACAGGAAGUAGAUAGAUGAACCAUGUGAUAACUAUUUUUUGAUGAAAAGCUUCUACAGGCAUCAAAUUAGUUUACCUGAAAUAAUUUAAACAACAGUAGAAUAAUUACAAAGUCCACUGUCUGGACCUUGACUUUUCUGAAACAAGCAUACAAUUUUUAAUAAUCAUGACCUUCACCUUCAGCUCUGACCUUUGUCUCUCCAAAACAUACCCCUUUGCUGUAUAUGCAUGGAUGUCUUAACAUGAAUAACCUCCUUAAUGUAGAUACUUAUAUAUCUAAACUUCACAGAGACUUUUAUGUGCCUUGAAUGUAGUUUCUAUGUAAAGUGUGUGUUCAUGUAAAAGCCAUAGUUUUCCGCUUAGUACUUUUUUUCAUUAAAAGCACAUUGAUGUCACCUGCACUUUGCCCAGUGGUAAAUCUCUGUUUGAAAUAUGCUGCCUUUUUAUUGUUAUUUUUCAAGAAUAUGCUACAGAAAUGUUCUCUGUGCAUCAGAUGAACGUGGAGCUGGGUAUUAUGCUACACAGCCUUGUACUGAUAUGCAGUUUUCCUCCACUGUUUAAAUGUCUGAUAUUUCAGGGACCAAUUGGUUUAGAAAUUGAAGCUAAGAAACGUUGAAUUGAGAACUGUGACAAAAUGUCAGUUCUGUAGAGUUUUACCUUUAGAAAACACAACUGAGUUUGACUCACUAUGUUUUCUGGUAACCAGCGAAUAGAAAAUGUGUUCUUACUGAUUUUAUUUUAUUUUAUUUUAUUUUUUUCCUAUCUCCAGAGACACAUUCAGUGUAUGGUAAACUAAAGCCAUUAUAUUAUUCCAGAAAACAGAUGUGAUAAUUAAGAACAGGAAUAAGUUUCAAAAUUCAAUGGAAAAAAUAGUUGUCAAGUUUAUUUCUGAAGAGAAGCACAAACAAAAUGCAUGCCAAUGUGUGGAUGAUUAAUGGGGGAAUUUCCAAAGUCUUUCCAUUAGUUCCUUUAUACUGCUGUACACAAUCAUGCAUGCUUUGUAUGGCCAUCAUAACUUUACGCAAUAUACUUGACCAUAAUGCCAAUCAACAGUUUCUCCUGGCAAACAGAAAGUGUUAAGAACUUCAAUACAAGAAGACUUUUUCUGCUUCAGAUGGAAUGGAUUCUGUUUGUCAUUAUUCACUUCCUCCUCAACUUGCUCAGUGUGCAUCUAAAUUAAUUCCUGUCACUUAGGUGCUCUCUUGAUAAAUACACGAUCUAUAUUUAAUGUCUCUUUAUUCUCAUUUUAUUAUACUUGUAUGCAGUAGUGAAAGAAGAUAACGGGCAGAGCAGUGUACCACAGCAGAGAAUUUGAUAUUGCUCCUUUUCACUUUUUGGUGGAACAGCUAUAUUUAGCAACACAGACUGUCAGCCACAAAUUGCCUACCUAUGUGCUCACUUUUUCCAAUCCGUGAUAUAGAAUUCUCUGUACUACAUUGAUAAAUAUCGCCACGUUUCACCCAUACAGCUAUAGUAAUUGUUUCCAUAGUAACUGAUUAAUUUACAAAUGUUCUGAACUGGAAGAUUAAUUGGAAGAGGAGCAGAGGCGUAAAUCCAGUAUAAUAGGUGCUUGUGUGGGUGCUGUAAGGCUUUUGUUGCCUGUGCCAUAGGCAGUGCUUUAGUUAAGGAAAAUGAGGGGUUGAAACUCAAUAUUUUAGGUGAGGUGUGAUUUACAAUUGCAAACAUAUAGGAGUGCAGAAGUCAAAAUAAUAAACCUUUGGUAAAUUUGCACACUCCUCCAUUUGCUACGUAUAAUUAUUUCCUGUCUGUGGUAUUAAUUCCUUGUGAGUAAAAGUUUCUCAUAGCAUGUCCUGCUGCAGUGUUGCUAAGUUCACCUAUUGAAUGCAGUUGGUUGUGUGGUGUUAGUUGUUUUUCUUUGUUUGUUUUAUUUAUGUACUUUGUCUAAAAAGCCAUCGAGUUUUUCUGUUAUGGGCAAGGAAAUUUAAAAGUUCCCAUUGUUUUUCAGUGCAGUAAAAAUAUAUUGAGAACUUCCAGUGCAUGCAGGCUGCAUUUAGCAUAAACAGGAAUCACAACAAUUGCUCUUUGUAAAUGAAAAAUCACUUGAAUUUAUGGCAUUGUUUUUUUGUUGUUUCUCUUCACAAAGAGGAAGAUAUUGCUGAGGCUACGAUCAUGGAUUUCCUUGCAAGACUGUCUUCUAGGCUCUUUGUUCUCUUUAGUUGGUGCAAAGUAGUUAUGGUAACUUACAGUGCAAUAAUUCACAUAUCCCACAAAGUUUAUUUGUUUGCUAAAAACAAACUACCUUUUUCCUCCCAGUACUUUGAAUCUCUUCUCGGGCACGCCAUUAGUGAAGUGCUUUCUUUCCAAAUCUGGAAAAAAAAAACAAAACACCAUCAAAUUGAGACUUAAUUUUAAGCUAUUUCUGAACGGAAGUAAUGAUGAAAAUAUGAAUGUUUCACCACGUUGUGAAACAUACAAGUAAAUUGGAUUUAAAAACCUGUUUUUACAGCCUGUGCUUUCUAUGUUUAUGUGCUCAGGUCUUGGGGCAGCGAAGGACCCCUUACCCAAACUGUAGGCGCUACAAAUGAGCAAUGCAAUCUGGCCAAAUCUCAGUGACCCCCUCCUGCAGAGCUCAGGCUGGGCACUGUACAUUCCUUUCUGAUACUUUGGUGCUCCAGGAGGAUUUCCAAAAUCCUUUUUCCUGGGUUGGGUGCCUUAUUGAUGUCAAAAAACAAUGAAUAGAAUAGAUAUAGGAGAAAAAGAGGCAGGCACUGUGGGCUCGGUUUCAGGUGUUCAAAGACUCAUAGAAAAAGAUUCAUUCUGAAAAGUGCAUGCAAAACAUGAUUAUUUGGAAAAACAAUUAUUUGGAUUCAUUGAUGUUUAACUAUUCAGAGGGCAUCACUUGAGUUUAUGAAAAGUCAGAAAAAGUGCAGGAGAUACUAGGAUGGAUGCAAGUUUGAGGAAAGUAUCUUUGUUUAUAUUCUGGGAGAUGGGAAAAGGUGACCUCAAUUUUGAAGUUUCUGCUUCAGGCCAAUGUUAACGGCCAGAUCAUUAUGUUGCAUAAAAUCUUUUUACAGCAAUAUGCUAUUUCUAACUUUUUAAAAUAUUGUGCAGGCAUAAGGACCAAAUGCCACAAUGGUUUGUUAAUAAAAUUGCCACUUUGCCUAAUACAAGACUAACUCAAAUAAUGUGGAAAACAACAUUUCAAAGUCUUUCAAAUACCCCUUCCUGAAGUAUACAUGUAAUUAAGGCUGACUGAUCUUGCAGUUAGUUAUAGUAGGUGCUGAAGUUAUUUUCUUCCCUGACAAAAGGCAGAAUGGAUGAAAUCCUCUCAGAGAUUUCCUGAUAAUGGUGCAGAUUGUGUCUUUGAAUGAGAGACCCUGAAGUUAUACAGCACUGAUACUCCAGCUGUUCACCUUCUAAUCCCCCAGGUCAGGAAUCGGUCUGUGAUUCACAGGCUUCUGCUGUCCAGGCAUGCACAAAACAUACAGUCUCUCCCCAUUUUGAUAUUAGGCUGCCUUUGUACUUGCGAGCUGAGCCUGGUUUCAUGCUGCAUCUCUUCGCAGAACACCUGCAACUCCUUUAGGUUGUUGUAAUUCCACAGCACAUCACUCUAUUUUGCCAGCAAAAAUAUUGAGUUCAGGCACAGCUGCAUCAAUUAGCUCCUCAAGUCUGCAAAUAGUGAUACUGGUGACAUUUUUUUGGAUGAAUGAGGGACCUACUGGCAAGUACAUAAAUGAAAUGAUCAACAUUCUCUUUCAUGUUUCUUUGUGUUUAAACAUUCUUUUACCAUCGUGUACUUUGAAAGUGACAGUCUUCUGCCCUUAGCUCAUAAAACACUAACAAAUAUUUUGCAUCUGUCACUACCAUGCUUCAUAGAUGCACAGAUGUACAUGCUGAUUAAAUAUACAAGGGCUGCUCUGAAAGUUAUGCCUCCUACUUUAUUAUAUUGGCCCAUGACAUCAGAGAUAAAUGUUGGUGUUACGGCAGUAAAGGUUGAACCUUCCCAAGAAUAUUCUGUUACAUUUUGCUGCCAUGCAACAGAUGGCAGCAGAGGGGCAGUGUGACAAAAUGGCAUCUGACAUGGAAGUGCAUGUGAAAAAAGGGGUGUUAUUGAAGUCCUCCAUACAGAACAAAUGACACCCACUGACAUUCAUCAACACUUGCUGAACAUCAGUGGAGACCAAACAAUGGAUGUGAGCGCAGUGAGGCGGUGGGUGGUCUGUUUUAGCAGUGGUGACAGUUAUAUGAAAGAUAAGUAUGGCAUGCAAGCCCUUGGCAAAAAUGCAUAGCUAAUGGUGGUGCUAAAAAUAGCUUUCUGUAGCUGAGAAUUCUCUCCAUCAAAUAGUGUUAUUGUGCUCUUUGUAUCUGUUGUAGUUUCCAUGGAAAUUAAUGGGAGACAUUACUUCCAGGGUGACCUAUAUGUAUAAAUAUGUAUUUACCUUGGUCAGAGAUAACUGAUAUUUUGUGAUACAAACUACUUUAUUAUACAACUAGUGUCUUAUGAUCACUGAAUUUCAUUAUGUUGUUGUUAUCCUGUGCUGUUCCAGAUAGUUUCUCAUCUUGUUGUCUUUCCACAGAUACCCAGCCAAAGCCAAAGGAACUAAAGCUCACUGUAUCAUUAGGAGGAUGAAUCCCUCCUGUUGCUUUAUUUCUUUUCCAUUUGUUUGUUUUUUCUUUUUGUCUUUUUUGUUUGUUUUUGUCUUUUCUCUUUUUGGUAACUAAAAUCCAGAUCUACUAGGACACAUUUUGAAGAAAAAAAUGUUGGAAUGAUGGGGAAUAUAUCCAUCAACAAGAUGAGGAAAAUAGGAUCAAAGCCCAGGAAAGAGGAAGUCAGCUGGGAGGACUGUGCAGGUUAAUGUAGAGAUAAAGCAAAUCUUCUGAACGUUUGCCCCUAGCUGGAGCCCUGAGAGACAGGAGAGUAUACAUGCAUUAGACAUCUACUCUACCCGGCUGAUUUCAGGCAAUGAUUUGGAACAGAAGAUAUGAAGAUAUGAGCUCUGCCCUGCUUGGCUUGACACAGAAAAGAGAUUUUCUGUUGAUAUCACUGUUGGGUAGAACUGGUGCUUGACGUUUUCAUUAAAAUAACAGAUACAGCUCUACUUGCUGCUGUAGCUGCAAACUCCCUUGUUUAUAUUGCCUCUGUUUUACUUUCAGGGCAGGAACAUCCCCUUGGUCCUCAGACUGUUUAGAUUCAGGGAAGCAGUGAAUGUCAGUGUGUGUGUAUGUAUUCAGUUCCCUCUCUGUACAUUUAGAAAUUGUAAAGGGAAAUUUAUUGUGAAGAGGGAAAAAAUAUAGGACUGGUUUCUGUCCCUGUGCUAAUAUCAUGGUAUUAACAUAGGUGAAUUGCUGCUGGUUGAUAUGAGCCUGGCUUCCAAGAGGACAUUCUUGUAGCACCUUGAUUGCCUGGGCCACCCCUCCAAGGAGGCUCAGCGGGCAGCCUCAGCCUUUCUUGUUUGCUGUUUUGUUGUUUCAGUUCUCAGCUGGAGAUUAUUUCUUCUUUCUGUCUCCUCUUGAUACAUGAAUGUGCUGUGUCAGGCUUGCCUUCAGGUCAGUGUCCUGUGCAGGCCUCGCCAUGGUGUCAGCAGUAAGCAGAUCUGAGAAGGCCAAAGGCAGGGCAUCAAUGGAAAAUGAGCCUAACAAAUGGGAAGUCAGGCUGGAUGGCCAGCCAUAAUGUCUUUCCUCUCACGAAACAUGACAGAAAGGCACAACAGAAAAGGCUGCUUUUCCUUAUCUUUAGCCUUUCACCUGGGUUUGUUUUUUCCUCUGUCCUAAUGGUUCCUUGUCAGCUUUUUCUGUGUCCUGACUUCCUUUCCCCUGAGCCUCUCUUGAGAGGCAGAGGAACAGGGUCUGAGCAAGGCAACAGUGGGCAACAAGCUAUAAAUUUGACAGAUUAUGAACGUGCUUCAGUGUGCUGUGUAACCUGUAAAUCAAAACCCAUUUUAAGACCAGCAAUGAAUCCCUGUAUAUCAAAAAGCAGGAGAUGUUAGAAUAGGCAGUUGCUGCCUCUUACAAUAGCUCCUCCAGAAACACAUUGUGCAGAGGGUCUUGUAUUCAUCAUUAAAAUUGUUUUCUUUCUUCCAUUAGCUGCUAUGCAGCAUGUAUGUAUUAGAAGUCAUGGCUAGUAUGACUUCAUUGAUAAAGCUCCAUUGUAUCCAACAUGAAAAGAGAAUAAAAGAGGUAAUAU
ensembl:lncRNA